rnacentral:lncRNA from 1 species
UUAGAGUGAGUGCUUUGAUUCUAUGGUGUUAAUCUGAAGAGCCACUCCGCUUUAGUGGGAGCAACUGGGCUUAACAAGGGACGACCUCACCACUAGAGGGGUAGAGAAGUUAGUUUAAUUACAAUUGAGUUGAUGGGGGUGGCAAUGGGUUGUGCAUGAUUCAGAUAGAGAGAGCUUUAAGGUGAGGCGGAUGGGCAGAGGUACGC